GCGUCCAUAGCUCAGUUGGUUAGAGCACCACCUUGACAUGGUGGGGGUCAGUGGUUCGAGUCCACUUGGACGCACCA
rnacentral:tRNA from 1 species